rnacentral:lncRNA from 1 species
GAUUCCUUAUGCCAGUAGAAGAACAAUACCUGGAGGUCCUGAAAGGUGAAGAUAACAGAAUCACGGGGAUGGUUUCCCCCACACUGUCCUUGUGGUAGUGAAGAAGUCUCAUGAGAGCUGAUGGUUUCAUAACGGGGAGUUCCCCUGCACACACUCCCUUGCCUGCUGCCAUGUAAGAUGGGACGCUGCUCCUCAUUCACCUUCUGCCAUGACUGUGAGGCCUCCCACGCCAUGUGGAACUUUCAGACAUGUCACUGGUUUUCUGCUGCCCCUUUUGGCUCCAUUCCACGUGCGUCCAUACAAACCGGCUGCUGCACCUGGAGGCUGAGCAGCCCACAGCUUCAUUGAGUCAGAGCCCCGUCUACACCAUCACGACGGCAGUGUGGCG